UUAAGAUAACCAGGCAAUCACCAUAUCCCAUCAAUGAAAAUAUAUUUUGCACCCUCAGUUUGCGAUAACGCAAUACACUUGUGUUGAUCAAAUGGAUUUAGUAUUGGAUCAACCAGUUUGCCAAUGGAAUAAAUCAUGUGUGUAUGCAUGGGCUCACUCGUAAGUAACGAUCCAUGCAAAACGUUUGGUGUAAUGUGCACGAAAUCUGUGCACGAUCCCUCCUGCUAGCUGGACCUGGACGUCUAUUUUAUUCCAACGGGUACAAAAACCAAGGUUUGGGAAAGGACUAGUAAUUAUCUUAGACUUAUUACGUAAAGACCCUACAGAGUUAGCGUCGAUUGUGCAAAUGCUCCAGAAGUAAGUUCAAUCAUUAUCGUACCAUAUCAGCAACUUUCUUUCAUUUCCUGAUAUCAAGUAAUCAUUUUCUUUGUUGUACAGGGUUUGGAAAAAGUUCAUCCGCAGCACUAGGGUGAAUGGAAUAAGGAGCUGCUAUUUUCCUUCGCCAAAAACUGCUCGAGGCAGGGAUCCGCAAAUAAUUUAUGUGCAUACUACGUUUGCAAGUGGAUUCACAAGACGACCUCUGAGAAGGGUAGAUCCUCAAAAGAACUUGAAAUCAUGCGGAUGCGGGAAGACCUCCUACCAACUGAUCGCCUACGAGCAAUUCAAGAGGAAUUGGCAGGAUUCUUUGUUGAGCAUGUCAUACCCACAGAAGGGGAAUAUCAUUAGGAUUUCCUUGUCGAUGUUGGUGGAUAGAUAUUAGCUAGUUAGGGAUCACAAAAGAUGUUAUAUAUUGUAUAUAUGCAUGGUCGUGUACUAUAUGUAGUAGGGUCGAGUUGUUCGACCAAGCACGAAGAAAGAGAAGUCACUUCUCUCUACAUAUGUUCAUGACGAUGUUGUGUAAUUA